CUAGACGGGUGGGCCUCGAUCCCACAAGACACUAGUUAACAGCUAGCUGCCUAAACCAACAGGCCUCCACCUA
rnacentral:tRNA from 1 species